rnacentral:pre_miRNA from 1 species
UAUAUACUCCCUCCAUUCCGAAUUACUUGUCGCAGGUAUGGAUGUAUCUAGAUGUAUUUUAGUUCUAGAUACAUCCAUUUCUUCGACGAGUAACUUGGAACGGAGGGAGUACAUG